AGCGGCGAACGGGUGAGUAACGCGUGAGCAAUCUACCUUAGUUACAGGGAUAGCCCGAGGAAACUCGGAUUAAUACCUGAUAUUCUUUACAUUUCGCAUGAAAUCAAAAGGAAAGGUCAGCCGAACUAAGAUGAGCUCGCGUUCUAUCAGCUAGUUGGUGAGGUAAAAGCUCACCAAGGCAACGACGGAUAGCUGGUCUGAGAGGACGAUCAGCCACACUGGGACUGAGACACGGCCCAGACUCCUACGGGAGGCUGCAGCAAGGAAUAUUGCGCAAUGAGCGAAAGCUUGACGCAGCGACACCGCGUGUGGGAUGACGGAUCUAGGUUUGUAAACCACUUUCAGGAGGGAAGAAAAUGACGGUACCUCCACAAGAAGCCCCGGCCAACUACGUGCCAGCAGCCGCGGUAAUACGUAGGGGGCGAGCGUUGUCCGGAUUUAUUGGGCGUAAAGAGCUCGUAGGCGGUUCAACAAGUCGGUCGUAAAAGUUCAGGGCUCAACCCUGAAAUGUCGAUCGAUACUGUUGUGACUAGGAUACGGUAGAGGUGAGUGGAAUUCCGAGUGUAGCGGUGAAAUGCGUAGAUAUUCGGAGGAACACCAAUUGCGAAGGCAGCUCACUGGGCCGCUAUCGACGCUGAGGAGCGAAAGCUAGGGGAGCAAACAGGAUUAGAUACCCUGGUAGUCCUAGCUGUAAACGAUGGAUACUAGACGUAGGAACUGGAUUGACGGUUCCUGUGUCGUAGCUAACGCGUUAAGUAUCCCGCCUGGGGAGUAC
rnacentral:rRNA from 1 species